rnacentral:rRNA from 4 species
AAAAAGAACCUGAAACCGUGUACGUACAAGCAGUGGGAGCACAGGUUUACCUGUGUGACUGCGUACCUUUUGUAUAAUGGGUCAGCGACUUAUAUUCUGUAGCAAGGUUAACCGUAUAGGGGAGCCGGAGGGAAACCGAGUCUUAACCGGGCGUUAAGUUGCAGGGUAUAGACCCGAAACCCGGUGAUCUAGCCAUGGGCAGGUUGAAGGUUGGGUAACACUAACUGGAGGACCGAACCGACUAAUGUUGAAAAA